rnacentral:ncRNA from 1 species
AGUCAGUUCAGGCAGACCCGAAACCGGGUGAUCUACCCAUGUCCAGGUUGAAGUUGCCGUAAAAGGCAAUGGAGGACCGAACGCACAUCCGUUGAAAAGGGUGGCGAUGAGGUGUGGGUAGGGGAGAAAUUCCAAUCGAACCCGGAGAUAGCUGGUUCUCCUCGAAAUAGCUUUAGGGCUAGCCUCGAUGGAGUCUAAUGGAGGUAGAGCACUGAAUUUCCUAGGGGGCGUCAAAGCUUACCGAAGAAUAUCAAACUCCGAAUGCCAUAUAGAUGCUCAUCGGGAGUCAGACUGCACGAGAUAAGUUGGGCAGUCAAAAGGGAAAGAGCCCAGACCUGCAGCUAAGGUCCCAAAGUGCGUGUUAAGUGGAAAAGGAUGUGGGAUUUCAAAGACAACCAGGAUGUUGGCUUAGAAGCAGCCAUACAUUAAAAGAGUGCGUAAUAGCUCACUGGUCGAGAGGUCCUGCGCCGAAAAUGUCCGGGGCUAAAACACGACACCGAAGCUCAGGAAUGUACGAACGUACAUUGGUAGAGGAGCAUUCUUAAUCAGGACGAAGCGUCACUGGAAAGAGGCGUGGACGGUUAAGAAGAGAGAAUGCCGGAAUGAGUAGCGAGAGGAAGGUGGGAAUCCUUCCGGCCGAAUAUCCAAGGUUUCCAGGGUAAAGCUGAUCUGCCCUGGGUAAGUCGGGACCUAAGGCGAGGUCGAAAGACGUAGCCGAUGGACAACAGGUUGAGAUUCCUGUACUGCUGUAUAACAGAACUGUGGGGACACGUGUGGAGAGUGUGAGCCGGGUAUGGAAAGACCGGUGCAAGCGAGGUAGGAGUCAGAUAGGCAAAUCCGUCUGGCAAUCCGAAGACGUGACGCGGACCGAACUAAAGUAGGGAAGCACAUGAGCCAUGCGUCGAGAAAAGCCGCUAUUGCUUAUACAGUACCCGUACCGUAAACCGACACAGGUAGAUGAGGAGAGAAUCCUAAGGCCGACGGAAGAAGCAUUGUUAAGGAACUCGGCAAAAUGACCCCGUAACUUC